AUUGAACGCUGGCGGCAUGCCUUACACAUGCAAGUCGAACGGCAGCACGGGGCAACCUGGUGGCGAGUGGCGAACGGGUGAGUAAUGUAUCGGAACGUACCAUUGAGUGGGGGAUAACGUAGCGAAAGUUACGCUAAUACCGCAUAUUCUCUCCGGAGGAAAGCAGGGGACCGCAAGGCCUUGCGCUCUUUGAGCGGCCGAUAUCAGAUUAGCUAGUUGGUGAGGUAAAGGCUCACCAAGGCGACGAUCUGUAGCGGGUCUGAGAGGAUGAUCCGCCACACUGGAACUGAGACACGGUCCAGACUCCUACGGGAGGCAGCAGUGGGGAAUUUUGGACAAUGGGGGCAACCCUGAUCCAGCCAUGCCGCGUGAGUGAAGAAGGCCUUCGGGUUGUAAAGCUCUUUCGGCCGGGAAAAAAUCGCAUGGGCUAAUACCCUGUGUGGAUGAUGGUACCGGAAUAAGAAACACCGGCUAACUACGUGCCAGCCGCCGCCGUAA
rnacentral:rRNA from 1 species